rnacentral:lncRNA from 1 species
CGGGGAGACGGGAAGCGCACCCCGAGUCGGCUCAGAUCACAUGGGCUGGGUGUGGGGGAGGGGGAGGCGCGGGGAGCUCGGCCCGGGCUGUUCGCUGGGCCGGGAGGCGGCAGCGCCCCCGGGCCCCCCUAGUUCGGACUAUUCAUUCAAGUUCCUGGGGCCCUGCGCCCGAUUCGGAGGUGGCACCCGCCGCCCUCCCUGCCUCUGUGCCCCCGUUUCCAGCCACCGCGCGGAAAUUUAGGUCAAGGACGCCGGGAGCACACCCACACCCUGCGCUCCCAGGGCAGUCCUCGAGAACCCCGGGAUCUGGGGGGCUUGCGGAUGGAGGAGACCCUCCUGCACGAACACCAGCCACAAGUUUUAUUUUCCCUUCGCGCGGCAAGUUCUCUGGCUCCCGCUCCACACUGGCACGUCCUGCACGGCUCCCCGCCCUUCCCCGCCAGAGGCAGAAGUCAGUGGCUACCUUCCUGAUGGAGACUUGAACAAACUGUUAAGUGGUGAGCUGGGAGGAGACCUGAUGGGGCGGGGCCCCGAGCACUGCAGUGUCCAAGCCAGAGACUGAUAAAGGACUAAAGGAGAAGGCUACUACGUCACUGCACUGUUUUUCUUAAGGUUGGUAUUGUUGGAGUUGGAGUCUUGCAAUGCAAGAAC